rnacentral:rRNA from 1 species
GACGAACGCUGGCGGCGUGCUUAACACAUGCAAGUCGAACGAAGUGGCGAACGGGUGAGUAAUACGUGGGUAACCUGCCCUCCUUUUUGGGAUAAGCCUUGGAAACGGGGUCUAAUACCGGAUAAAGGUGGAUGGGCUCGCGGCCGAUCGGCUUGUUGGUGGGGUGAUAGCCUACCAAGGCGGUGACGGGUAGCCGGCCUGAGCGGCUGAACGGCCACAGUGGGACUGACCUGCGGCCCAGACUCGGAAGGGGGGGAGCAGUUGGGGAUAUUGAAGAAUGUGUGACAGCGUGAUGCAGCGUGGGCGAGGAAGGGUUGAAGGUUUUCGGGUUGUGAAGUUAUUUCGCUAUCGAACGGGUAGGUGGAGAAAAAGCGCCGGCUAACUACGUGCCAGCAGCCGCGGUAAUUC